rnacentral:rRNA from 1 species
GAGUUUGAUCAUGGCUCAGGAUGAACGCUAGCGGCAGGCCUAACACAUGCAAGUUCGAGGGGUAGGUCAUUUCGGUGACUGAGACCGGCGCACGGGUGCGUAACGCGUAUGCAAUCUGCCUUUUACUGAGGGAUAGCCCGAAGAAAUUUGGAUUAAUACCUCAUAGUAUUAUGAAGUGGCAUCACUUUAUGAUUAAAGAAUUUCGGUAAAAGAUGAGCAUGCGUCCCAUUAGCUAGAUGGUAAGGUAACGGCUUACCAUGGCAACGAUGGGUAGGGGUCCUGAGAGGGAGAUCCCCACACUGGUACUGAGACACGGACCAGACUCCUACGGGAGGCAGGCAGUGAGGAAUAUUGGUCAAUGGACGCAAGUCUGAACCAGCCAUGCCGCGUGUGU